UAUCCAUCACUGCGGCUGUGAUGGGACGCACUGUGACAUUAUUAAGAUGAAACGGAUCAGUCGGAUUGGUUCCGAAAUGGUAGAACUUGUUUUAGAAUAGCACGGGCUACACGGUACCGGACCUUAUCAUUGUAAAGCAACGAUACGAACUCGUCACUGAGCUGACCAAGAUCAACACGGCACCGUGGCCAAGAGCCGCUGAUGCCACGCCGCCUCCACAGCGCGUUCGACCCUCCAACAGAUUCCGCAGCUGCUGCACAGUGGACACGUGGCCUCAAACGUCUUUAGAAGAUGAUACUUCUAUAAAAGAUCUGCCUUGACGACGCUGCUUAGGAUGCCCACGAAUUGGCAGGAAGUAAUCCGGGCAAACAAAGUGAAACUGAUCGCAUGGAUCAGUCAAGACCCUUCCUACCUGCUGGACGAUCUGGACUCGAACGCCUUCAUUGAAAGAAGCGUUUACAAACUUGCCGCGGAAAUUACUGACUCUAGGAGUCAGUCUCGCUUCCUGGUCGACCACUUCAUUGACAAUGAGGAGGAGGAUUGCAAGAAUCUCCUGCAGUCGCUCAAAAAUGUGGAGAGCAGCUACCCUCGGGAGCUUCGCGAAUGGAUUGACAGACUCGGUAAUGAGAACACGUUUCAACAAAACAAACAAAUGGAAAAAAGACGUCCCAGCAGUCAAGACAAGGUUGACAAGAUGGCGUCUUCAAAAAUAAUCUUUCAUACUACUAUGAAGAAACUUACAUUGGACAAGUUUUACCCCCAUAAAAUAUCAAGAAAUUACGUUUUGAAAUUAAUUGGCUGUGAGGAAUAUCCCAAAUCUCUUGAGGAAAUUUCCCAACAUUUCCUCAGGAAUGUAAUGAGAGCAAAUCCCAGGGCAAGAAACACAGAAUAUGGCCAGUGUAGAAUGGAAGAGGAAGAUACGAGUGACGAUGAAAAUACAAGAAGCUCAGGUAGUGAUGCGACAGCCGAUUUGAUAAAUCCACUGGACAUGAUAACCGCGGCGUUUCUCUGCGCUGACAGCUUCUUACAGCAGGAGCUUAUGCAGAAGAUGUCCCAGUGUCAGUUUGCCUUGCCUCUCUUACUGCCUGAUUCGGGCAAAGGAAACAUCACGUUUAUGUUGUGGGCCAUGAGGCAAAUUGUGAAAAACUGGAAACUACAGCAAAAUGCAUCCAGCAUGGAGGAGUCAUUAGUCAGCAUCAAAAUGCCUUUCAUUUCAUUCAUUCGGAUUGGAGAGUGCAGUGUCUCGAAAUCAAAAGUGCUCAAUUCGAUUCUGAGCAAUGAAAAACACGAUUUCUUUGUCCAUCGAGAAAUGGCAUGUGGUGACAUCGCUCGAAAGUGCUCCGAUGGACUGGUUGAAACGUGUACGUUCUGUCCUGGUGGGAAAUCAAAUGUGGACGUUUUCCAAACGGUGUUUAGCAUUUUAAAUCUCCGCGGCGAUGCCCGAGAUCACUUAGUUCAGCUUGAGUUCCUAACAGAAAUCUCGCAGGCUAUAUUCGUCGUUGUUGACAAUGAAGUAACAGACGUGGACAAAAUAUUGCCUCUGCUUGCCGAUGCAGAAGCUCAGUUGUUUCUGAUAACAAAUCAGGACGUGCGUAGUAGAAUCAGGAAUUCAAAUGCAAUCACUGAUGUCUGGUCUCAGCUGAAAUUAGAGAAAACUAACAUUAUUGAACGAGGCAAGCACAAUGAAGAGUAUUUUACUCGGAAAAUGCGCUGUAAGAUCGCAGAUGUAAUCAAAAGUAGUAUAAAUUCCAGUACAAUGGAAGAUAUGGCCCACUUUGCUAAAUCAUUAGAAAUUACAGUCGAUGAAUGUGAAAAUAAAUGUCAGCGAACUAAACGAAAAGUCAAAGUAAUUAUUGACAAAAUAAAAGAGGAUGGUGUGAAAGAGAGUAAGAGAGAUCUCCCAUUGCAAGGAGAUCUUUGGCGCAGGUGGUCAGAAAGCAAAAAAGAGCAAAAUCGGCUGAAAAAAGUCGGUGAUUCUGUCGAAGAAUACAUAUGUAGAUUAGUUGAAACACAAAGAGAAAUUCGCAUUGAACAGGCAGGUAAAGGUUUUUCAGAUAUUAUGCAAAUGUGCGUUGAUUUACUGUUAGACAAGUCGACCAUUAUGAAAAUGUACGCCCUUCAAUGGAUGAAAUUGGAACUGAACAGUUUAUCCAGGACCAGCUUUUCCUCGUUACGCGCUGAUUACAAGCAGCUACUUGUUGAUUCUACGACUAAAAGUGCAGAUCUGCAUACGAUUAAAGAAUUAAUGUCAUCAAACUCAUUAGGAAUGGAACACUUCAUGAGGGAAAUUGGACAGUGUUAUGAAGCAACUAAAGCAAUUUCCAAGCAUAAAACAUCCAGUACCAUAAAACCACCUAAACCUGCCUGCCCCGAGGCACUGACACUCCCAUCUGUUGCUGCGGAGUUGUUCUUGGAGGGGUUGCCCUUGGAGCUGAUGGAUGGUGACGUUGGCUGUAUUCCCAUUGACUGGGUGACCGACGUGCUUAAGGCAGUGAGGACUAGGCUUGGCCGAGACCCCCGCGUGUUCGUCCUGACCGUGCUGGGGGUGCAGAGCACAGGCAAGUCCACGCUUCUCAACACCAUGUUUGGGCUGCAGUUCCCAGUGAGCAGUGGCCGCUGCACACGCGGCGCUUUCAUGCAGCUCGUCAGCGUUGACGAUGAGCUGAGACGAGACCUGGCGUGUGACUUCAUCCUGGUGAUUGACACAGAAGGGCUGAAAGCUCCUCAGCUGGCAACACUUCACGACAACCACGAGCACGACAAUGAGCUGGCCACCGUGUUCGUUGGUUUGAGCGAUGUCACGCUCAUUAACCUGGCAACGGAAAAUGCCGAAGACAUGAAGGACGUUCUGCAAAUCGUCGUCCACGCUUUUUUGAGAAUGAAAGCAGUGGGCAAGAAACCGAGUUGCCAGUUUGUGCAUCAGAAUUCGGGCGAUGUCGCUGCCUCCGACAAGAACAUGAUGGAGAACGAACACCUCAUCGAUCAACUGAAUGCCAUGACGGUGGCAGCUGCAAGAAUGGAGCACAAGGAGUCCACUUACAGUAAAUUCACCGACGUGAUGGAGCACGACGUGAGUCGGGACAACUGGUACAUUCCUGGCCUCUGGCAUGGAACCCCUCCAAUGGCUGCAGUCAGUGCUGCGUACAGCGAUCAGGUUUUUCAACUCAAGCAGCACCUGAUGGACCAUUUUAAAAAGAGAGCAGAAACACAGGGAGCUUCGACGCUCUCAGAGUUCAGUGCUUGGAUCGGAAGCAUCUGGGAAGCAGUGACAAAGGAGCACUUCAUAUUCAGUUUCAGGAACAGCUUGGUUGCCGAUGCGUAUUACAAACUGUGUGUUCAAUAUACAGACUGGGAGUGGGAAUAUCGUAAGGAAAUUCUUUCUUGGACGCAGGAGAAGGAGAAUAGAAUAAUGAACGUGAAACACGAGAAGCUUCAGGAAAUUCUUCAACAGUUGGAGCUUGAAUUAGGGAAUGAGAUUUCAAAAGGAAAAGUCGCUAUACAGAACAAAUUAAAAAGCUACUUUGAAAACAAAAGCAAUGAUGUGCAUUUAGUUGAGAAAUACAAAGAGGACUUCAACAUCAGCGCCAAUCACCUAUGCAGCAAAUCACACGAUGAAACCCUGAACAUAUUCAAACAAUUAGUCUGCAGGAGACAGUCUCGACACUCCAUCGAUGAGCUUGAAACAAAAAGGAAAAAGAUCAUUGGAUUGGAAGUUCAUUCCCUUCUUCAGCGUUGCAAGAACGAGGACAUACAAUUAAACGAACAACAGCUCAAGAAAGAGUUUGACAACAUGUGGACAGAGGUGGUUAAAUUCCUCCCAGAAAUUAAGUUGACCCGCCACAACGUUUACAGAGAUGUGCAGAAAGCGCUGAUUGACAGUAAAAUAGAAUAUCAGCUGCUUGUAAGUGAAGCAUUGCGGGAAACUUCACAGGACGACAAAUAUCGCGACAAAAUUGUAAACGAAUGUCGACAAGGGCCAGAAACACCUGUCAAAUUGGCUGGACGUAGAAAUAAACCAACCCAAGAGGAUGACUCAGGUGUGAACCAGUCGAAGGAACGUUCUCGCUCGAUAAUCACAAAGAUGAGCCGGUAUAUUGAGGACAAAAUAAAACAUUACGAUUAUUGCUCCGCCUAUUGUGACGAACUUCUGCAACAAGUAAGGGUCGCAUUUAAAGAGGCUGAAAAUCUGAACAUUAUGAUCAGCAAAGACUUAGUAAUAGAUACCACUGUGAUUGUAUGUCACAUCGCCAUAAAAACAUGGCAAGAUAAACAUGACAUUAACAAUGAAGUCAAUGAUCCUAAAAAUAAAUUGAAGCAAGUUGAGGAGUCAUAUUUUGUUAUUUUCAAGGAACUCUAUCGUCAAGGGGAUGAAAAUAUGGAACAUGCAAAGACCUUUUGUAACGAGUGCUUGAAGCCGUCUCUACUUGAGGCUGUCGACAACAAAUUGGGGAUGGAUAUUGCGAAGAACGUGAAGAGCGAUAGCGGUAGCCCUACGUUUUUGAGCCGGAAAAACCUUCAACUGGCAAUGCUACUGCAUUUGUUGGAUGAAGACGACUUUGAAAAUUACGACAGAUACAUCACGAAUUAUGCAGGUUUUACAAAAGAAUGGAUAAAGGCCCAGGUCAUAAAGCACUGCCAGAGUAAGCAUGGAUCACAAUCUAAGAUGUACCAUCUCUCAAGCGCCAUUUUGAGCAAUCUGAUUAAAGAAGUGAAGAAAUCUGUGGACACUGUCACAAAACAAAUAGCCACUCCGACCACACUUUGGAAAUUCUCAGACAGCUUGGGGGAGUGUCUGCUCAAUCACAUCAUCAUUAAUAAGGAUUUCAUUGACAUAGUUGGGUCUUUGUUGUUCAAAGACACAAACAGUGUCAAGCAAUUUUCGGAAGAACUCAAGAGUUCGUUGGACUCUGCUGAAGGGGAAAUGUUACGAGGAUUCAGUGUCGCCAGUGACGCCGAGUGUGCGGCGUGGUUGAGUCGUCUCACUGUGCAGCCACACAUCGAGCUCUACAAGAGCCUGGCUGGCUGUGAGAAGCAGUGUCCUUUCUGUGGGGUGCCUUGUGACCAGGGAGGCGGUGGACAUAGGGAGCACUGUUCGGUGCUGCAUUAUCCUUUGGGCCUUAAUGGAGUUCGGUUCAUAACAACUCAGAAGUUGUCUGUUGAAGUUUGCACAACAGCUGUUGCCAGCAAUAGGACAUACCGCUGUGCACGUUCAAAUGCAAGAUGUAUCCCCUACAAGGAAUACCGCACUAUCAAUGAUUACUUUGCCUCGUGGCUCAUUCAGUCGGACACCAGCCUAGAGGCCACGACUUUCUGGAAGAUCGUGUUCUGCAAAUACAAUGGGAAAUUUGCUGAAAGACACAAGGCUUUGUCGGCAGAUAUUCCCGAUGCUUGGAAAGAGAUCAAAACAAAUAAAAAGAAGAUUAUGAAAGACUUGAAAAAAACAUUCUCACUAGCAUUGUGAAAGCAGUCGUUUUUGUAAAUACCGUAGACUCUGAUUAUCCACGCUCAUGACAAAGAGGACGGUUACAGAUCAUUAAAAAUUGCGGAUAAUCUAAAAAUAUUAACAUUUUCCAUGGAUAUGUUUGCCAAAAACCACGAAUAUACGAUUAAUCGAUGCGUGUUCUCAGUGAUAACACUUUCCUACUCCUGUGCAGAAGACUCGGCCCACGAAGCGAAUAUCAGAAACACGCCAAUCAAAAUCAAACUCUGCUCACUGUUGUCAAGAUACGGCAACUACUGUACUGUAGAGGGGUGAUCACGUGAAUAUGGGAUAAACCGGAACACAUAAUUGUUCAGUUUAAGCAUGUUACUUGUAAUAAAUAUUUCCAAGAAUAACAAUGUUGAACUGUUUUUAGAUGAUUAAUUUGGGCUUAAGGGAAAAUCCAUGAGUAAUUAAUUUAUGUCAAUCUCAGGUCCGAGGUUAAUCCACAAAUCAGAUCCCUGCAGUGACGACAACUUCAAAUCUAGAUUAAGACUGACAGAGAUAAGAUGUUUGCACUCGAAAUGUAUUGCUACAGAGAGUGACCAGCGUAGGAGUAAGACAAAGGUUGCAUACAGAAGAAGACCUGACGAUGCAGGCAGUGAUGAGAAGGAAACUGGAAUUAUUUGGACAGAUAUGUAGGAUGGAUAACAACAGGAAAAUGCAAAGUGUGUUGUUCGGAAAAAUGGAAGGAACCGGAAAGAUAGGGAGACCUAACAGAGAAUGGUUUCACAACACAAGAGGUGAUUGGUGCCAGAAAGAUGUGGCCACUACUUGAGAAUAUUUGCACAAGACGGAGGAAAGUGGAGACAAAUUACGAAAUGUGCAGUGGACAUCUCCGGGCUAUCUGCCCAUGGACUCUGAUGAUGAUGAUAAUGGUGAAGUCCAAAGACAGCUGGAUGGCAUUUUCUUCGACAGCUUCUACAUCACAUAGUAAUAGGUUUUUACCCUUUCAACUGGUACAAAAACUGACACCUUUAUACAAGGCAUCAUGUUUGCAAUAACCACAACACAAGCAGUCAAAAUGCAAACAUAAAGAAACAACUCUGAUGAUGAUAAUGAUAUGCACUGUCCUUGAAGUUGAUUGGUCCACACCCGAGACAGCUUUUCUUAGAGCCUAGUCUCCAUUGGUGUUGGACCAGAUGACGCCAAAAGGCGUACAACUCAAAGACAGCGCACUAUCAGAGUAUUGAGAGCUCGGGGUAAGCAUUUACACUAUGAGAUCUCUUUUACCAGUGGCAAAAUAUAGUAGUAGGUUUUUGUACCAGUUGAAAGGGUAAAAACCUAUUACUAUAUUUUGCCACUGGUAAAGGAGGUCUCAUAGAGCUUCUACAUCAGUGAAUGCCAGUUAAUAUUCGUGGUGGUGGUGAUGAUGGUGGUGUUGAUCAGCAUCAGAAUAUUUAAUUUAUAUAUAUAUUAAUACUGGAGGAAUCCGAUGAGCUAUAAAGUACUUUUUCACAGUCAUCACUUAUCUCAAGGUGAAGAUAUUUAGCCUCUGGCAGUGUUCGAAAAUAGUGGCACGAUAUUAAAUAAUUAGAAUAUCUAAUUUUCUUAGGCAGUGGUACUUGGUCUUUACUGCAGCCUUGCACCCCCUUGGUUCUCAAUCGUAAACAAAUGUACGACGUUAAUUAGCACAGAGGGUUUAAUGAAACAAAGUUGUUAUACUUGUGUGCCCGUGCUUUAUUUGUAUUUCGAUAAUUUACCGUCUAAAAAUAAUCAGGUUAAGAACCACUGAUCUAAGGUAUGGGAUGGCUAUUUAUAUUGUACUCGCUUUACUACCCGGCUUCGCCCGGGACUUGGAUUCUUGUCUUUAAUGCACGGCCUACGCGGAGGGUGGGGGGGGGUAUGCGUGACGUCAGCAGGCACACUGCGUGACGCUGCCGCAUGCGGGUGACAUCACAGAUGUGACGUCACAGAUGUGACGUCACCGCUCACUUUCCGUGCAAAAUAUAUCCAUUAUUGCGCCCCGCCCCCUCCCCCCCUAAAAUAAAAAAAUCGAUUUUUAUACUUUUUGCAUUGUGUACAGUCUGGAAACUACCCACAUGCAAAAUUUCUAGUUUUUUGCAUGUCGGUAAAUAUGCUAAAUAUUUCGAUCAGACACACAUAUUCACAAAUUUCCCUUUUAUAUAUAUAGAGAAACAAAGAAGAAGGAACUACUGUUUCUCAAACACUUACACAACAACUGUACAGUAAUUAGAUUUGAUUAUGUCUGGACUCUGAGCAAAUGAAUCGAUGUAAAUAAAUACUCGUUCAUUGUUUUCUCACAGUAUAUGUUCUAGAGUGUAUUGCUAUUAAACUCCGUGAGAAGUAAACUUGAUUUAUAGAAUCCAUAUUUUCGGUUAAACUAUGCUACAUUCCAGGAUACUGUCUGGAACCUUAAGUAUUGUGUACGCUGUAAUGCUUUGUUAAGGGUCAGGUAAUUUUGAUCUGUAUAUUAUGAUUGCGAUCAAGCGGUGUUGCUUGUAUUCCGUGUGUGCCUAAUAAAGCCAGAAUUGUACCACG